rnacentral:rRNA from 1 species
CCUACGGGUGGCAGCAGUGGGGAAUAUUGCACAAUGGGGGAAACCCUGAUGCAGCGACGCCGCGUGAGUGAAGAAGUAAUUCGGUAUGUAAAGCUCUGUCAGCAGGGAAGAAAAUGACGGUACCUGACCAAGAAGCCCCGGCUAACUACGUGCCAGUCGCCGCGGUAAUACGUAGGGGGCAAGCGUUAUCCGGAUUUACUGGGUGUAAAGGGAGCGUAGACGGCAGGGCAAGUCUGGAGUGAAAUGCGGGGGCUCAACCCUCGGACUGCUCUGGAAACUGGCAGGCUGGAGUGCAGGAGAGGUAAGUGGAAUUCCUAGUGUAGCGGUGAAAUGCGUAGAUAUUAGGAGGAACACCAGUGGCGAAGGCGGCUUACUGGACUGUAACUGACGUUGAGGCUCGAAAGCGUGGGGAGCAAACAGGAUUAGAUACCCCUGUAGUC